rnacentral:rRNA from 1 species
UAAGGAAUAUUGGUCAAUGGACGCAAGUCUGAACCAGCCAUGCCGCGUGAAGGAUUAAGGUCCUCUGGAUUGUAAACUUCUUUUAUCUGGGACGAAAAAGGCGAUUCUUCGUCACUUGACGGUACCAGAUGAAUAAGCACCGGCUAACUCCGUGCCAGCAGCCGCGGUAAUACGGAGGGUGCAAGCGUUAUCCGGAUUCACUGGGUUUAAAGGGUGCGUAGGCGGGCAGGUAAGUCAGUGGUGAAAUCCUAGAGCUUAACUCUAGAACUGCCAUUGAUACUAUCUGUCUUGAAUAUUGUGGAGGUAAGCGGAAUAUGUCAUGUAGCGGUGAAAUGCUUAGAUAUGACAUAGAACACCUAUUGCGAAGGCAGCUUACUACGCAUAUAUUGACGCUGAGGCACGAAAGCGUGGGGAUCAAACAGGAUUAGAUACCCUGGUAGUCCACGCCCUAAACGAUGAUUACUCGACAUUUGUGAUACACUAUAAGUGUCUGAGCGAAAGCAUUAAGUAAUCCACCUGGGAAGUACGACCGCAAGGUUGAAACUUAAAUGAAUUGACGGGGUCAUAGCUGUUUCCUG